UUUGCGCGUGCGCAUCAGGUCCCUGUUUACGGAAGCUGCCAUAGUCGUUUGUUUUCAGUGAUACAAGUUCAGAGUGAGAUGAAUGAUGUAAAUGGAUACAAUAUCGCCAUUCCCGGACGGUCGUCAUGCUCAGUUACGUAGUGGUUGUGGUUGUAGCCGUGGGUAUGGCAUUUUGGUUAAUGCCUCGCGAGUGGUCCUUUAAAAUUGGACAUGAAUCAAGCCACGGUCUCCCUGUUAGGGUCCUGAGCAAAGAUGAGUUGUCACUUUACGACGGGGAGGAAGGCAGCAAGGGCCUUUACCUGGCCAUUGUGGGACAGGUUUUUGAUGUACAAAAUGGGUAUAAGCACUACGGACCAGGUGGAGCAUAUCACUUCAUGGCAGGCAAAGAUGCCUCAUUGUCGUUCAUAACUGGAGACUUCACAGAAAGUGGACUAACAGAUGAUGUGUCCAGUCUCUCCCAUCUGCAGGUAGUAGCCCUGUACGACUGGUUGGCCUUCUAUCAGAAAGUGUACCAGAGUGUGGGUGUGGUAACAGGCCAGUUCUACAGUGAGACGGGGAAGCCAACAGAGGCUCUGCUGCAGGUGGAGACAUCCCUGGCUGAAGGCCAGAAAAUGAAGGCCCAGUCUGAGUCAGACAUGAUUCGCUUCCCAGCCUGCAAUUCAGAGUGGAGCUCUGCCCAAGGAGGAAGAUUCUGGUGCUCUACUCAGAGUGGGGGAGUAUUAAGAGACUGGGCAGGUGUCCCGCGAAAACUCUUCUCUGCUGGAUCACCCAGCGCUCGUUGCAUUUGUGUUGAGGACCAAUCUGCAGCAGAGAAAAACCCCAACCUUCAGAAAUAUGAUGGCUGCCAUCCACAAGCUGACUCGUGUUAUGUUGGAAAGCACUAGUCUCUGAGCCAGUUAAGAAAAGCCGUCUUAGUCACAGCCUGCUGCUAAGAAACACAAGCUGAAAACAACUUGGAGUGAUGAAGAAAUAUAAGUGCAGUACAAACUUUUUUUGAUUAACUUUAUGUAAAGUUUUCUUCCCUUUCCCAAAAGGAUACACCAGGAAGAAACAGGCUAAAUAUCUGAGCAUACAGAU